UUUGUUUCCAUUUUAGUGGAAAGUAGACAACUUUGAUUUAUCGACUAAGAUCGUACUCCAAUCCCCAAAGUAAUGCAAUCCUAGAAAAUUUCAGACAGAUUGGCUUAAAGCAAAAUAACUUAGGUGCCCAUAAUUAGCUGUGCAUGCAAAACUUUUAAUAAAACCACCUCAAUUAAGUGGCCGGAAUGUAGAAUAUUAGCUGGUCCAUAGGGUUUCAUUCUUUGUGAGAUAAUUUUUGAAUCCUAGUACUGUCUUCUUUUUGAGAGGUGUUAGAGCUCUCCUAAAAAGACCCUGAAUGUGUACACUAAAUCAUUGAAUUAAAUUGAUCGCAUAUUUUGGAUACAUCUUUGCGGCCAGCCGGCAGAUCCUCUGCGGCGUCCCUAUCGACACCCCGACACCAUCCCAGCGGCCCCCCCACACCCCUCGCCAAGACACCACACCGGCCCCCGCUGCAUCCCCCGUUCCCUCCAAGAUCUGUCACAUCGUCAUCCUCAGCGCCAUCUCCUUCCCCACCACCACAUCAUCGCCCAGUGCUCCGGCCUGCCGCCGCCUCCCUCCGCGUCGUCCCUCCGCGCCUCGACCCUCUCAUUAAAGAGGAUGCAAAUUCAGAGGUGCCGCCGAGAAUCCUACUUCAAUGUUGGCUUCAUGGACCCAAUGAUUGUUAACCAAAAGCAGAUACAAUAUCAACCAAAGUCUACAUUUGGUGCAAUAUACAGAUUCUUGGAGCAACGGAAUUACAAGCAACAAUACUACAGCCUUACAACUUUAAUUACCACUGGAUUCUUCUUAUAAUUAUGAUUGAUCAAAGCUACGUUAUUAUCUUUGAUUCGCCAAGGAAACCAAAGGAUGAGUACCAAGACAUUCAAGACAUGCUUACCUUUUCUUGAGACAGGAACAAGAGAAUAAUUUAUGUGGACACUACGUCUGUGAGCACAUACACCAUUUCAUGAGGGACAAGAUGUGGCAGAUUCGCGAAGAACUCUUGGAGAAGGAAAGACUUUUGACAAUCCAAGAAGCACUCAUAGGAUUUCUGGUGGACGAGGUAAUAAAUUCCAAAAUAGAAUUUUAUUAUAAUGGACAUUCAGUAGCCGAACCGAGCAACACCAUGACGGGAGCAUCCUAAGAAUU